rnacentral:rRNA from 1 species
GGGCUCGAACGUAAGAUGACUGUAGGUGAAAGCUUACAUCUCUUCGGAGCAUUUUACGAGGUGCUGCAUGGUUGUCGUCAGCUCGUGCCGUGAGGUGUCGGGUUAAGUCCCAUAACGAGCGCAACCCCUACCUUUAGUUGCCAUCAGGUUAAGCUGGGGACUCUAAAGGAACUGCCUACGCAAGUAGUGAGGAAGCGGGGAUGACGUCAAAUCAGCACGGCCCUUACGUCCAGGGCUACACACGUGCUACAAUGGCCGAUACAGAGGGCAGCUACCUGGUGACAGGAUGCAAAAUCUCCAAAGUCGGUCUCAGUUCGGAUCGGAGUCUGCAACCCGACUCCGUGAAGUUGGAUUCGCUAGUAAUCGCGCAUCAGCCAUGGCGCGGUGAAUACGUUCCCGGGCCUU